CAGUCUCCCUCAAGCAGUGGCAGAGAGCAACAUCUCUGUCUCUGCCCAUCAACAACUGGACACACUCUGGACUUGUGGAAUGGUGUGCGUCCACAAAGUGAGUGUGUAACAUGUAUAUAAUUAUUGCUUGUUGUUCUUUAUAGUACUACUAUUGCCUAUUGUAUGUUUCUCCUCUGUGUUUACUGUGUUGUGUAAUACUCUUGCACUAAGUUAUCAACGUGAGGGGAUUUAGUCUUUUUCUCACCAAACCUUUUGCCUAAAUCCAAUGACGGGGUGAAUGUUUUGUUUGAUUUCAAAUUGAAUUCACAUUAGUUCACAACUCAACCAAAUGUAAAUCAAAACCAGGUGUUGAACUGACGUCUGUGCCCAGUGGGAGUCCUGUCCUGGAAAACAAACACGUUGCAGGAAUGCCAUAAAGGUUGAAUCUAUUUUUUUUACAGAAUCAUGAGGCGAGGAGAUAGGACGGAAGGAAUCAAGGAAAUACAAUUGAGAUUCACACUUUUUGGGAUAGGGGGCAGCACUUUCACUUUUGGAUGAAUAGCGUGCCCAGAGUGAACUGCCUCCUACUCUGUCCCAGAUGCUAAUAUAUGCAUAUUAUUAUUACUAUUGGAUAGAAAACACUCUGAGGUUUCUAAAACUGUUUGAAUGAUGUCUGUGAGUAUAACAGAACUCAUAUGGCAGGCGAAAACCUGAGAAAAAUCCAACCAGGAAGUGGGACAUCUGAGGUUUGUAGUUUUUCAAAGCUUGGCCUACCGAAUACACAUUGAGAUAUGGAUAAAAUUGCACUUCCUAUGGCUUCCACUAGAUGUCAACCAUCUUUUGAAACUUGAAUAAGGAUUCUACUAUAAAGGAGGAGCUCAUGAGACCUCUUUGAGUCAGUGGUCUGGCAGAGAGCCUUGGUCUCAUGACGCGCGCUCCCGACAGAGUUAUCUCGCGUUCCAGUGCUUCUCUGAAGACAAAGGAAUUCUCUGGUUGGAACAUUAUUGAUGUUUUAUGUUAAAAACAUCCUAACGAUUGAUUCCAUACAUCGUUUGACAUGUUUCUAAAGGACUGUAACAGAACUUUUCGAGUUUUUGUCUGGAUGAAGUGCCUGCGCCUCAUGAAGAUGUAUUACUGGGCUGAACACGCUAACAACAAGUGGCUAUUUGGACAUAAAUGAUUGAACUUUAUGGAACAAAUCAGUCAUUUAUUGUCGAACUAGAAUUCCUGGGAGUGCCUUCUGAUGAAGAUCAUCAAAGGUAAGUGAAUAUUUAUGGUGUUGUUUCUAACUUUGUUGAUUCCAAAAUGGCGGCUAUUCCUCUGGCUGUUUUGGGUUCUGAGCGCUGUUCUCAGAUUAUGCUUUUUCCGUAAAGUUUUUUUGAAAUCUGACACAGCGGUUACAUUAAGGAGAAGUCUGUCUUUAAUUCUGUGAAUAACACUAGUAUCUUUUAUCAAUGUUUAUUAGGAGUAUUUCUGCAAAAUCCCCAGAUGUUUUGGAAUCAAAACAUUACUGCACGUAAGGCGCUAAUGUAAACUGAGAUUUUUGGAUAUAAAUAUGCACAUUAUCAAACAAAACAUACAUGUAUUGUGUAACAUGAUGUCCUAUGAGUGUCAUCUGAUGAAGAUCAUCAAAGGUUAGCGAUUAACUUAUAUAUUUCUGCUAUUUCUGCUUUUUGUGACUCCAAUCCGGUGAUCUGGCGGUGAUCUAACAUAAUCAUAUGUUGUGCUUUAGCUGUAAAGCAUUUUUGAAAUAGGACACGAUGGGUAGAUUAACAAGGUGUUUAUCUUUCAUUUGCUGUAUUGGACUUGUUAAUGUGUGAAAGUUACAUAUUUCCCCAAAAUAUUUUUUAAUUUCGCGCUCUGCCUUUUCAGCGGAAUGUUGCGCUAGAAAGUUUAAGUGGAUAUAACCCACAUCCUAUCUAGUGAAGGGAUUAAACCAAGGCCUCAUACCUUUUAAAGGGUUAAUAAAGUGUUAUGAUAAACUGUUAAGGUCUCCUCUCAGGAUACCUUUCUGUGUGUGUUAAAACCUGUUUUGAGUGAUAUGCCCUGCAGACACUAUCAGAAGGCGGAAACUGCCUACGCUCACACUCCUCCUGUCUGGGUCCCACCGUGACUGUCUGAGGUUCUGAGAAUACGACUGGUUUUCUGAGAACACAAGGCCACCGCAGGCUUGAUGGAAACCGCCACCUGGCAGAGGAUGCUUAGACUUAUCUAUUGUGAAAUGUCAAUGGGGAGGCAGGAUGUCUUAGACACCUUGCAGAACUUGGAGAGAACUGUCAUCUACUGUACUCUGUAUCAACUUCUGCCAUGCAAUUGUAUUACUAAAGGAGAAUCAUAAUACUUAAACAAAGAGUCCAUUUCCUUUCUACUACCAAUAUAUAAGUUUGAUAAUUAUAUAGACCUGCUCAUCUGUUGAAGAAAUUGACCAACACUAGUCAAAUAAUUAAAGAAAAAUUGUUAAAUUUACAGAUGUUUUCUUUCAUUAUUCUAGGCAUAAAUCAUGUUUCUGACAUGGAUUGUUAACCGAUCUACAUUUCAAAACAUCAUUUCCAAGAACUCCAUAAUUCUCCAUAUCCCAGAGACGAUGGACCUAAACACAGAGGAUCUCCUUAUAGAUCUGCCAACCAGGUUCGGUGGGUGACAGGUAAGUGUUUCCACCAAGCUGUUCAAUGCCUGGAGUGGCACGCUGGAACUUCCAUAGGCUUGUAGACCUGAAGCAGUGUGAUUUGGUACAGGUAAGUAUCACACACACAUAUACACACACUCAAUCACUUACUCAGUUUUGUUGUAAUAAUUAUUUUAACUUAAGAAAAUUGUUCCUCUCUCUUUUAGCUCAACCACAGUCUUCACAGCUGGAGUCGUGUGCCCUGCAACUGCUAAACUGGCCAUGAAAGGUGAUACAGAUCUGCCACCAGGUUUUCAGCUGCAGUCACAGUAGUCCUCUGCUGUGUUAUUUAAUUUACCGGCUGCACCAGUUCUUACUACACUGGCCACGGUGAGGAAUACCCAGAUGGAUACAGAUCUGCCAUGCACUCCACCACUGCCCGACAGCCUCACCCAGAAGAGAAUUACACUGGGCCUAUGGAGACUGACAAAGCAGAGAUGGGUGGCUAACUAGAAAAAAUAAAACGUAUACACUUUCUCACACACAUUUGAUUUUGAUUAGUAUGUAAAUAUAUUGUGAUUACUUGUUUUAUAUGUAUGCUCCAUUUGAUUAUGAUUGGAAAUAUUUAGUCCUACAGAUUGUGUUAUCCAUUUCCCACAAAGGACAUGUGCAGUUGUGCUUACUCACAGUUGGUGGAAAAGUAAGGAGAGAUGGUGGCUGACAAGGAAAAAUAAAAUACAAUAUGUGCACACACACUCCCUCUCUCCCUCUCCCACACAAUCUGUGUGCUUUUGUCUGAGCUACAAAACAUGACUCAUUAUUUGAGGAAAAUAUAUGCAGUAAAGUACAUUCACAGUUAAA